CCUACGGGUGGCAGCAGUGGGGAAUAUUGGACAAUGGGCGAAAGCCUGAUCCAGCCAUGCCGCGUGUGUGAAGAAGGCCUUCGGGUUGUAAAGCACUUUCAGUGGGGAAGAAAGCCUUGGGGCUAAUACCCUCGAGGAAGGACAUCACCCACAGAAGAAGCACCGGCUAACUCCGUGCCAGCAGCCGCGGUAAUACGGAGGGUGCGAGCGGUUAAUCGGAAUUACUGGGCGUAAAGCGCGCGUAGGCGGUCUGAUAAGCCGGUUGUGAAAGCCCCGGGCUCAACCUGGGAACGGCAUCCGGAACUGUCAGGCUAGAGUGCAGGAGAGGAAGGUAGAAUUCCCGGUGUAGCGGUGAAAUGCGUAGAGAUCGGGAGGAAUACCAGUGGCGAAGGCGGCCUUCUGGACUGACACUGACGCUGAGGUGCGAAAGCGUGGGUAGCAAACAGGAUUAGAUACCCCAGUAGU
rnacentral:rRNA from 1 species